AACGCCCUGUGCCAUGAAGCAUCGAAGAAGCAGAAGGUGGUGUGGUGCAUCAGAGUCUUCCAUGAUCAUUACAACUGAGCCAAGAAGGAAUCCACCACCCAAAAUCCCUGCAAGAGAGGGCCAAUAAAUGGUGAUUCGAUAUACACAAACAGCUAAAAAAAGGCUGAACAUCGUUGAUGCAAGAAAAAAAUCGGGGAAUAUAAGAAAGAGAAAGAUGAAUCUUCUUCACUGGAGAGGAGAUUUUGGGAGCAAGAAGCUGCUUACUGUCGAGGUCGGGGAUGCCCGAAGAGACGAAGGUGGCCCCGUUCGGACCAAGCUUGACGCCGGAAACGCCCGAAGAGGAGGCCGCUGGGUUGGAUGCGGCGCGGGAGAAGCUGCUCCGGCCGAGGGUUUGGCCACGGGCGGCGGCCAUGGUAGCGGCGCGCCGGCGGCGAUGGUCUGUACGAGAGAUUUCCGUGUUUCGUCCCUGGGCCCUCUAUUAGCGCGGACCGGUAGGUGCGGUACGACUAUUUGUUUCGGCCAAGCCCAUAUAUGGAUAACGGGCCUUUUCGUCUGACAGGUUACUAGAUUGUAUUCAAGAGCCCGAGGAGUCGGGGCGUGUCCGUCUUCUAGAACUUGAGGUCCCGGUGCAAACUACAAGUUGGAGCUCUAAGCUAAUAUAAGGUGUAUUUUUAUUUAUCCACACCAUUUUAAUCUGCGCCAUUGUUGACAAUCCA